CCUACGGGAGGCAGCAGUGGGGAAUAUUGCACAAUGGGGGAAACCCUGAUGCAGCGACGCCGCGUGAGUGAAGAAGUAAUUCGUUAUGUAAAGCUCUAUCAGCAGGGAAGAAAAUGACGGUACGUGAGUAAGAAGCUCCGGCUAACUACGUGCCAGCAGCCGCGGUAAUACGUAGGGGGCAAGGGUUAUCCGGAUUUACUGGGUGUAAAGGGAGCGUAGACGGCAGUGCAAGUCUGGAGUGAAAGGCGGGGGCUCAACCCCCGGACUGCUCUGGAAACUGUACGGCUGGAGUGCAGGAGAGGUAAGUGGAAUUCCUAGUGUAGCGGUGAAAUGCGUAGAUAUUAGGAGGAACACCAGUGGCGAAGGCGGCUUACUGGACUGUAACUGACGUUGAGGCUCGAAAGCGUGGGGAGCAAACAGGAUUAGAUACCCCUGUAGUC
rnacentral:rRNA from 1 species